CAGAUUCUCAGGCCACACUUCGGGAAUUUCUGACUCCAUAGAUCUGGGCUGGAGAAAAUGAUUUCCAAUAUUGACAACUGACGAUACUGACUAUAACUCACGCUGUGAAAAUCACUGGCAGAGGCUGUUUUCCAGGAACUUGGAGUCCGCUGCAUCUAAUUCAAGCUGAGCCAGUUAAGACUGGAUAGGACCACUGACCUUCUAUCUGGGCUUGCACAAGUGUCUGGUGACCUUUUGGACGUGCAGCCGCCUGUGGCCUCCUGACGCCUGCGCAGAACGACAAUUACGCCACCUUUUCUCCAGCACCUUUCCCCACACUUCCCAUGCCUCAGACUGUCCUGCUGCUUUCUUCUCUAUCCCAUAAAUACCCCAACCCCUUGCCUCCUGGGAGGCAGAUCUGGGAUUUUCCCCCCCAUUUCCUCGUUUGGCUGUUUUGGGAAUAAAUCUCUCUGCUGCAAACCUCGGGAUCUCAGCAUUUUGGCUGCUGAGCGAUGGGCAAGAUGAACCUGGUUCAGUAACACUGGCCACACUGUACGGCAUGCAAGAUGUUAGUUCCCGGACCAGGGGUCAAAUCCGUGCCCCCUGCAGUGGAAGCACAGAGUCCUAAUCACUGGACAGCCAAGCAAGUCCCUACCAUUUGAUUUUAAAACAGAAGCACAAAACCCCAGUUUCUGCCACCAUUCCUCUCAUGCAGAGGGGAACCAUCCUGAACAAAGCUAAGAUAUCCUGUGCCUGCGCAGACUUUGCCCACCCUCAACCUUGCCACCUCUGCCAAACUCUGGUCUCACACUCCCGCCAAGACUAUGCGAGAGUUGUAGCAGCUCUACCUCCUCACCAACAAUUGGUAUCACCAGCACCAAAAUUUGUGCCAAUUCUACCUGCAUAAAAUAGAAUCUUGUGUUUUUAAAUUUGUUUCUCUGGUUACCUUGAGACUGAACAUCUUUUCAUAUGUUUAUCAGUCAUGUAGGUUUCCUCAUCUGUGAAUGUC